UUGUACUGCUGCACUUGUGACCCUGAGCCUGGCCUCUGCGUUGCACUCUAUUCUGGUAAAAAUGUCAUCUUUCUCUCUCUGUAAAAUAUUUGGACAAUCAGCAGCAACACAACUAUAAGCUAGAAUGUGAAACAGAGUGAAUAUUAUCAGCAAAUAAAAUCAACUUGUUGACUUGUGGAAAAUUGACCCAUGAGGACUUGAGGAGCAGCCAUCAAAGCUGGAGCCCCAUGUUGAGGUUGUUGCAGGAGAUUGGAAGGAGACUGCUGGUCAGCUGGUACCCUGGGAGAUCACCUGAGCCCUUAAAUGAGAUUAGGCCCUUCCUGAAGAGAGAUUCCAAACCUGAGAGAUCCUUCUGCUGGUCUUGAGGAAGUAAGCUGCCACGAUGUGAGAGGGCCUGUGGAUGGGCCAUGAGCGGGGAGCUGAGCGUGACCUCUAGGAGCAGAGAGCAGCCUCUAACUGAUGACGUCCAGUGGGCAAGAAAGCUGGGACCACAGUCCUGCAGUUGCAAGGAACUGAAUUUGGCCAAGAACUAUGUGCACUUGGAAGUAGACCCUGCACUCCAGAAGGAAAUGCUCCUCAGCCAAAAGCUUAUGAGAGACCCUGCCCAGACUUCUGACCUAUAGAAACUGUAAGAUAAUAAACACGUGUGGUUUCAAGCUGCUAAGUCAGUGAGAAUUUGUUACACAGCAAUAGAAAACUAAUGCAGUAACCCUACUUCUAUCUCCCUCCACAUGUUGGUUAGGUUUUUAUCACAGCUGUCAGGUUUCCUCCCUCUCUCUGCCACUGCCUGACUUCUUCACUGGCCUGCAUCCUGGGCUCCCAUUCUUCAGACACAAUGAGCAAUAGGUUCAUGGUAUGGUUGACAAACCCUAGGCUCUGGGCUAUAGCUUAUCUUCCCCAAGGUCAACCCCUCUGGCUCCUUGCACUUGAAUGAGCGAGAAGGAAGGAGAAAGUUUGGGUCCCAUGGUGCUUCUCUGGUGGGCUCCACUCCACAUAGCUAUGUUCCUAGUUCCUAUCAGAUAAUUUCCAGGACCUUACAGGAACCACAGAGCCCAGCUGCUUGAAAUCAGGAAUGCUCUCCCAAGCCUUCCCUAAAGAAGGUCAAGAAAACAUCACCAUUUCCCCAGGCCCAGACCACAGUAACUCGAGACUAGAGAGGAGGGAACAUUGUUUAGAAUUAUAAUGCUUUCUCCCAUAUGCAGGGUUGAGAAAUUGUUGACCAUCAUUGCUUAGGAGGCUUGGUGAUUUACUUGUGAAAUUCUUAGGAAGGAUUGCAAUGAGAAGGAAAUCACCAAGGUCUCAAGGCUUCUGAGCAGCGUAUUUAAAAAUAUGCUAUAUAUUCAGAAAACACUUAGGAUAAACCACAGGAAACACACAGGAGAAAAUUCAUUCCGUGUCAAAAACAGUUGGAAAUGUAAAGCCCCAAAAUGUGCCAGUGAAGAUGGAAAAUGGAGUCAGACCUCCAACUUGAUCUCUGUUUAUCAAGCAAAACAUCUCUUAAGAAUUUUUAUUUUGAUGUAAUUAUAGAUUCAUAGGAAAAAAAUAUCAUUGCAAAAUGGUACAAAGUCCCAUGUCCCUUCACCUAGCUUCCCCCAAUGCUGAUAUUUUAUAUAACUGUAGUACAAUAUCCAAAACAGAAUUUACAUAUAAUUGGCAUUACACAUUGUGAGUUGAAUUAUGUUUCCCCUCCAAAAUACAUGUUGGAGUCCUAAUGUCCCAGGACCUCAGAACAUGAACUUCUUCGGAAAUAGAGUUGUUGCAGAUGUAAUUACUUCAGAUGAAGUCAUAUUGGAGUAGGAUGGGCUCCUCCUGGUGUCUUACAAGAAGAUGACCAUGUAAAGACAGAGACACACAGGGCGGAUUCCAUGUGAUAACAAAGGCAGAGAUUUGAGUUAUGCAGCUCAAGCCAAGGAAUGCCAAGGAUUGCCAGCAAACCACCAGAAGCUGGGAAGAGGCAAGGAGGGAUUCUCCCCUG